AACGUAGGUUCCGAGCGUUAUCCGGAUUUACUGGGCGUAAAGCGCGUUCAGGCGGUUUGGAAAGUCGGGCAUGAAAUCUCUCGGCUCAACCGGGAGAGGUUGUCCGAUACUUCCAGACUUGAGGGCAGUAGAGGGUGGUGGAAUUCCGGGUGUAGUGGUGAAAUGCGUAGAUAUCCGGAGGAACACCAGUGGCGAAAGCGGCCACCUGGACUGCACCUGACGCUGACACGCGAAAGCUAGGGGAGCGAACGGG
rnacentral:rRNA from 1 species